UGCUUCUCUGCUGACGAGCGGCGGACGGGUGAGGAAUACUUGGGAAUUUGCCUUUAGGCGGGGGACAACCACUGGAAACGGUGGCUAAUACCGCAUAAUGUCUACGGACCAAAGUGGGGGACCUUCGGGCCUCACACCUAAAGAUGAGCCCAAUCGGGAUUAGCUAGUUGGUGAGGUAAAGGCUCACCAAGGCGACGAUCCCUAGCUGUUCUGAGAGGAUGAUCAGCCACACUGGGACUGAGAGACGGCCCAGACUCCUACGGGAGGCUACAGUGGGGAAUAUUGCACAAUGGGGGCAACCCUGAUGCAGCCAUGCCGCGUGUGUGAAGAAGGCCUUCGGGUUGUAAAGCACUUUCAGUGGUGAGGAAAGGGUGAUAGUUAAUAACUAUCACAGUUGACGUUAGCCACAGAAGAAGCACCGGCUAACUCCGUGCCAGCAGCCGCGGUAAUACGGAGGGUGCAAGCGUUAAUCGAGAAUUACUGGGCGUAAAGCGUACGUAGGCGGUGUGUUAAGCUAGAUGUGAAAGCCCGGGGCUCAACCUGGGGAAUAGCAUUUAAACUGGCACGCUAGAGUCCUGAAGAGGGUGGUAGAAUUUCCAGUGUAGCGGUGAAAUGCGUAGAUAUUGGAAGGAAUACCGGUGGCGAAGGCGGCCACCUGGUCAGAGACUGACGUUGAGGUACGAAAGCGUGGGGAGCAAACAGGAUUAGAUACCCUGGUAGUCCACGCCGUAAACGAUGUCAACUAGUUGUUCGUGUCAUUAAGACGUGAGUAACGCAGCUAACGCAUUAAGUUGACCGCCUGGGGAGUACGUCCGCAAGGUUAAAACUCAAAUGAAUUGACGGGGGCCCGCCCAAGCGGUGGAGCAUGUGGUUUAAUUGGAUGCAACGCGAAGACCCUUACCAUCCCUUGACAUCCAGUGAAUUUUCCAGAGAUGGAUUAGUGCCUUCGGGAACAUUGAGCCAGGUGCUGCAUGGCUGUCUUCAGCUCGUGUUGUGAGAUGUUGGGUUAAGUCCCGCAACGAGCGCAACCCUUAUCCUUAGUUGCCAGCGGUUCGGCCGGGAACUCUGGGGAGACUGCCGGUGAUAAACCGGAGGAAGGUGGGGACGACGUCAAGUCAUCAUGGCCCUUACGGGAUGGGCUACACACGUGCUACAAUGGCGCGUACAAAGGGCAGCGAACCUGCGAGGGUAAGCGAAUCUCAUAAAGCGCGUCGUAGUCCGGAUUGGAGUCUGCAACUCGACUCCAUGAAGUCGGAAUCGCUAGUAAUCGUGGAUCAGAAUGCCACGGUGAAUACGUUCCCGGGCCUUGUACACACCGCCCGUCACACCAUGGGAGUGGGCUGCACACAGAAG
rnacentral:rRNA from 1 species